CCCGCGACACUGCGAGAAGUCCAUUGAACCUUAUCAUUUAGAGGAAGGAGAAGUCGUAACAAGGUUUCCGUAGGUGAACCUGCGGAAGGAUCAUUG
rnacentral:rRNA from 2 species